AUUGAACGCUGGCGGCAGGCCUAACACAUGCAAGUCGAGCGAGCGGCGGACGGGUGAGUAAUGUCUGGGAAACUGCCUGAUGGAGGGGGAUAACUACUGGAAACGGUAGCUAAUACCGCAUACCAUCAUAUUUGCCCAGAUGGGAUUAGCUUGUAGGUGGGGUAAUGGCUCACCUAGGCGACGAGCCCUAGCUGGUCUGAGAGGAUGAAAGGCCACACUGGGACUGAGACACGGUCCAGACUCCUACGGGAGGCAGCAGUGGGGAAUAUUGCACAAUGGGCGCAAGCCUGAUGCAGCCAUGCCGCGUGUGUGAAGAAGGCCUUCGGGUUGUAAAGCACUUUCAGCGGGGAGGCGUUACCCACAGAAGAAGCACCGGCUAACUCCGUGCCAGCAGCCGCGGUAAUUC
rnacentral:rRNA from 1 species